AAACCUAUAUACUUUGUAUUAAGCUUACUAGCUUGAACUAAUUCAUAAUACAAAUCAUGCAUUCCAAAUAAGUAAAUAUUAAGCCACAACCAAAAAAUAUAUAUAUGUAUCCAUCAAUCAUGUUUACUUCAUUUGAGCUGAAUCAUAAAAAUAAACAUAUACAAAACAUACCAAUGUGACAAGCUUACCAUAAUGAACAAUCAUAAGCUAUACAUAUCAUUACUUU
rnacentral:lncRNA from 1 species